rfam:Sus scrofa isolate TJ Tabasco breed Duroc chromosome 12, whole genome shotgun sequence.
CAGUGCAGUCACCCAUAAAGUAGAAAGCACUACUAACAGCACUGGAGGGUGUAGUGUUUCCUACUUUAUGGAUGAGUGUACUGU